rnacentral:misc_RNA from 1 species
AUUGCUGUUUUAAAUAUAUAAAAAAUUAUUUUAAACUUUACUUAUUCUGUUUGAAAAGUGAUAAUAUUUUCUCAAAAUCAAAGAGUUUCGUAUUGAUUAUUCAAUUAACAAGAUAGACAAAAUAGAUAUACAAAAUAAAAUCACUCACCAAUAAAUAAGAAAAUAGAUUCUAGAGUCACGUAAUAUAAGAAUUAGAAAACUAAAUCUAACAAUCAAAUAAAAACGGAAAAAUGAUAAUUACUAAUAAAAACUCAUACUUAUGAUAAGUUUGAACUAUAUACAUACCCACAAAGCAAGAGUAGAAAGAGGUUAUUAAAAUGUAAUCCCAGACUUAUCAAAAUUUGAAAGGGGCUAUGGUGUACCUAUAAUGUGAAAGAAGAUGAAAGAUUAGUAUAUAUGAGAUACUAAAGAUUUUUUAUCGAAGAGAAAUAUUGAAGAUAAGUGACGAAGAACUUUAUAAAUAAAAAGAAUAGAGUAUAAUUAAAAUUUUAUAAAUUAUAUAAAUAUAAAAUUAAAAAAUAUAAAAAUUUUAAAUUACUUAAAAUUACAAAUUUAAUAAUUUAAAAACAUGUGGUAAAAUAAUCAUUUUGCAAUUCGAAACCACCGUCGUAACAUUAACAAUCUUCACAAAUAAAUUUCUGGUAAAAAAAAAAUCUUCACAAAUAAAUAGUAUUAUCAUUCCAUACACUUCAAACAAGGGGUUAGUUUAUGGGAUCAAACGCAUUGAAGGCAGGUCAUGGCCUGGCUCCUAUUCAAGGUCAAUCAGCCCUUCAACUUUUCAACUUGCGGAAAUCUCGAUAACCCGGUAAUUGCAGUUAACCGCCAAGGAUUUUUGUUUAUUUGUUUAUUUUUUUAAAGUGCGGAGAUUUCUUGCUAGGAAUUUGGAAAAGAAGAGAAGAAAAAGGUUGGAUUUUUGGUGAUUGAGAGAUUUGAUUUUCUUCUCAACUUUGAAUUUCACUCAGCCAAAUUUUUUAUUUUGAAUGGUAAUUGUUAUCUUUCCUACAAUUCUUUUUCUCACUGUUGGCCUCCUGGGGUCCUGGCCUUCUUUUAUUUUAUUUUUUUCUUUUAGGUUAAUUUAUCACAGACAGCAAAUGCUCCACUGCCUUAUUGAUGACAGUGGUAGCAACUCCUUCCCUUUUUAUACUGUCUAUAUUAGGCUUGUUUUUACAUUAGGCAAUUCAAUGCUGUCAAAACCAUGCGAUUAGGAAGAAGAGUAGCAAAUAAAAUUUGUCUUGUCUUACCAUUCAAUGAAAUUAUACUAGGCUGUGACUUUAGCAAGGGAAGAGUAUGAGGUGUUGAUGUCAGCCCACGUUCGUGCACUAUCCCAUAAUAGCAGUAAUUUUGAAAAGUUCUCUAAUGAAUCUUUAUUCAGUUAUUAGAUGUUUUUUCUGUUACUUGAUUUAAGUUUUUGAAUUCCAGAUUUGUUUGCAAAAUGCUUUCCCUUUCUUUAUUAUGUCUCUGGAAUUUUAGGUAAUAACUCUAUCUUGAAAAACCUGUAAAAUAAUAAACAUGUAUGGAGAAAUCUUAUUCUAGUUGAGUUUGGACUGGAAUCUUUGUAGUUAGAGAAAGUCAAUGCAGAGACUGGGACUGUGAGAUUCAGAAUUAUUGUGUAAUAAAUACUCCAGGAGUGAUUCGUUGAAACCUAAAUGUUUUUAUUUCACAUAAGAUUAAAGCAUAAACUGCUAUGAAUUCCAUUGAAACAUUAUCACUUUGGUUUCACUUCAUUUCAUAAACUGAGUAAAUGAGUCAUAUAUCAUGUCUGCAUUUCCAAAUUGGUGCAUAUCGAGAUUUAAAUUGAAAGCUACAAGUGGUUUGAGCAGAAAGGCCAAGAGAUAAUUAAUUCAUUUAAGGUGGAGCAUUGGAUUCAUAUUUAACAUUACAAUGUAUAGUGCAUCCUCCUUUCCUUUUUGAAGAUUUUAUUAAUUUUAACAAAUCAUGUCUCGCCUUUUGAAGGCACCUUGGAUUCAUGCUGCAAGUAAAGUUCCAGAGGAAACUACGAUCAAAGCAAUGGAGGAAUUUUAUAGGGAAAUCUAUGCAGUGAAUGGCAUCACUGAAAUUAAUUUUCCGGAACAUUAUCCUGUUUCAAGACCUUUAGAUAUGGUUUUGGUAUCUUUCAAUACUUUAUUGUUGUUUGGUUGAUUUAUUUAUUUUGGCUUGCUGAUGUCAACUGGAUUAUUCUUUGUUUCUGUGGGUACUGCAUGACCGGCUUCUUGCUGUAUUCAUUAUUUUAUUUUCCUUCUAUCCAAUAAGUGUUGGGCCUUUUUACCACAUUUAGUAUACGUACCAAACUUGGAAUUUACUCAGAGUUGCAGGGUUAAUUACUUAAUUUAUGUUUACUUUUAAAAUCAUGCAUUAGGUCUACCACCAUCAGUGUUCAUCUUGUGUCCUAGAUUUGUGCAGCUUUUUACUAAUGAAGGGAUUAAUUUGUAGAAUAGGUUGGUGGAAAAAUUAGAAGUGGUUAUAAUGGUGCUUCCACCAUGUCCAAAUACGCUACAUUGAUUUUCU